UGUCGUCAGCUCGUGUCGUGAGAUGUUGGGUUAAGUCCCGCAACGAGCGCAACCCUCAUCCUUAGUUGCCAUCACGUUUGGGUGGGCACUCUAAGGAAACUGCCGGUGGUAAGCCGGAGGAAGGUGGGGAUGACGUCAAGUCCUCAUGGCCCUUACGGGUAGGGCUACACACGUGCUACAAUGGCAGUGACAAUGGGUUAAUCCCCAAAAACUGUCUCAGUUCGGAUUGUCGUCUGCAACUCGACGGCAUGAAGGUGGAAUCGCUAGUAAUCGUGGAUCAGCAUGCCACGGUGAAUACGUUCCCGGGCCUUGUACACACCGCCCGUCACAUCAUGGGAAUUGGUUCUACCCGAAGACGCUGUGCUAACUUCGGAGGCAGGCGGCCACGGUAGGAUCAGUGACUGGGAUGAAGUCGUAACAAGGUAGCCGUAGGGGAACCUGCGGCUGGAUCACCUCCUU
rnacentral:rRNA from 9 species